GGUUAAGUGACUAAGCGUACACGGUGGAUGCCUUGGCAGUCAGAGGCGAUGAAAGACGUAGUAACUUGCGAUAAGCCCAGAUUAGGUAGUAACAACCAUUUGAGUCUGGGAUUUCUGAAUGGGGAAACCCACGUGCAUAAGCACGUAUCCUUACCUGAAUACAUAGGGUAAGGAGGCGAACCGGGGGAACUGAAACAUCUAAGUACCCCGAGGAAAAGAAAUCAACCGAGAUUCCGAAAGUAGCGGCGAGCGAAAUUGGACUAGCCCUUAAGCUUUACACGCGUUAGACGAACGGUCUGGAAAGUCCGACGAUACAGGGUGAUAGUCCCGUAGUUGACGACGUGUGUUCAGUGAAAUCGAGUAGGGCGGGACACGUGAUAUCCUGUCUGAAUAUGGGGGGACCAUCCUCCAAGGCUAAAUACUACUGACUGACCGAUAGUGAACCAGUACCGUGAGGGAAAGGCGAAAAGAACCCCUGUGAGGGGAGUGAAAUAGAACCUGAAACCGUGUACGUACAAGCAGUAGGAGCACCUUCGUGGUGUGACUGCGUACCUUUUGUAUAAUGGGUCAGCGACUUAUAUUCAGUGGCAAGGUUAACCAUCUAGGGGAGCCGUAGGGAAACCGAGUCUUAACUGGGCGUUCAGUCUCUGGAUAUAGACCCGAAACCAGGUGAUCUAGCCAUGGGCAGGUUGAAGGUUGAGUAACAUCAACUGGAGGACCGAACCGACUAAUGUUGAAAAAUUAGCGGAUGACUUGUGGCUAGGGGUGAAAGGCCAAUCAAACCUGGAGAUAGCUGGUUCUCCCCGAAAGCUAUUUAGGUAGCGCCUCGGACGAAUACUACUGGGGGUAGAGCACUGUUAAGGCUAGGGGGUCAUCCCGACUUACCAACCCUUUGCAAACUCCGAAUACCAGUAAGUACUAUCCGGGAGACACACGGCGGGUGCUAACGUCCGUCGUGGAGAGGGAAACAACCCAGACCGCCAGCUAAGGUCCCAAAUUACUACUAAGUGGGAAACGAUGUGGGAAGGCUCAGACAGCCAGGAUGUUGGCUUAGAAGCAGCCAUCAUUUAAAGAAAGCGUAAUAGCUCACUGGUCGAGUCGGCCUGCGCGGAAGAUGUAACGGGGCUAAGUAGUAAACCGAAGCUGCGGCAAUAUACUUUUGUAUAUUGGGUAGGGGAGCGUUCUGUAAGCGGUUGAAGGUGUGUGGUAACGCAUGCUGGACGUAUCAGAAGUGCGAAUGCUGACAUGAGUAACGAUAAAGGGGGUGAAAAACCUCCUCGCCGGAAGACCAAGGGUUCCUGUCCAACGUUAAUCGGGGCAGGGUAAGUCGACCCCUAAGGCGAGGCCGAAAGGCGUAGUCGAUGGGAAACGGGUUAAUAUUCCCGUACUUCUUACAAUUGCGAUGGGGGGACGGAGAAGGCUAGGUGGGCCUGGCGACGGUUGUCCAGGUUCAAGUGCGUAGGCUUGAGAGUUAGGUAAAUCCGGCUCUUUCUAAGGCUGAGACACGACGUCGAGCACCUACGGGUGUGAAGUCAUUGAUGCCAUGCUUCCAGGAAAAGCCUCUAAGCUUCAGAUUGUAAGGAAUCGUACCCCAAACCGACACAGGUGGUCGGGUAGAGAAUACCAAGGCGCUUGAGAGAACUCGGGUGAAGGAACUAGGCAAAAUGGUACCGUAACUUCGGGAGAAGGUACGCUCUCGACGGUGAAGUCCUUCGCGGAUGGAGCUGUUGAGAGUCGCAGAUACCAGGUGGCUGCAACUGUUUAUUAAAAACACAGCACUGUGCAAAAUCGUAAGAUGACGUAUACGGUGUGACGCCUGCCCGGUGCCGGAAGGUUAAUUGAUGGGGUUAGACUUCGGUCGAAGCUCUUGAUCGAAGCCCCGGUAAACGGCGGCCGUAACUAUAACGGUCCUAAGGUAGCGAAAUUCCUUGUCGGGUAAGUUCCGACCUGCACGAAUGGCGUAAUGAUGGCCACGCUGUCUCCACCCGAGACUCAGUGAAAUUGAAAUCGCUGUGAAGAUGCAGUGUACCCGCGGCUAGACGGAAAGACCCCGUGAACCUUUACUACAGCUUGGCACUGAACAUUGACCCUACAUGUGUAGGAUAGGUGGGAGGCUUUGAAGCAGGUACGCCAGUAUCUGUGGAGCCGUCCUUGAAAUACCACCCUUGUAGUGUUGAUGUUCUAACGUUGACCCCUUAUCGGGGUUGCGGACAGUGCCUGGUGGGUAGUUUGACUGGGGCGGUCUCCUCCCAAAGAGUAACGGAGGAGCACGAAGGUGGGCUAAUCACGGUUGGACAUCGUGAGGUUAGUGCAAUGGCAUAAGCCCGCUUGACUGCGAGAAUGACAAUUCGAGCAGGUGCGAAAGCAGGUCAUAGUGAUCCGGUGGUUCUGAAUGGAAGGGCCAUCGCUCAACGGAUAAAAGGUACUCCGGGGAUAACAGGCUGAUACCGCCCAAGAGUUCAUAUCGACGGCGGUGUUUGGCACCUCGAUGUCGGCUCAUCACAUCCUGGGGCUGAAGUCGGUCCCAAGGGUAUGGCUGUUCGCCAUUUAAAGUGGUACGCGAGCUGGGUUUAGAACGUCGUGAGACAGUUCGGUCCCUAUCUGCCGUGGGCGUUGGAAGAUUGAAGGGGGCUGCUCCUAGUACGAGAGGACCGGAGUGGACGAACCUCUGGUGUUCGGGUUGUGUCGCCAGACGCAUUGCCCGGUAGCUAAGUUCGGAAUCGAUAACCGCUGAAAGCAUCUAAGCGGGAAGCGAGCCCUGAGAUGAGUCUUCCCUGAUACUUUAAGUAUCCUAAAGGGUUGUCGGAGACUACGACGUUGAUAGGUCAGGUGUGUAAGUGCUGUGAGGCAUUGAGCUAACUGAUACUAAUUGCCCGUGAGGCUUAACCAU
rnacentral:rRNA from 1 species